rnacentral:rRNA from 1 species
UGGCGGCAGGCUUACACAUGCAAGUCGAACGGUAGCAGGAGAAAGCUUGCUUUCUUGCUGACGAGUGGCGGACGGGUGAGUAAUGCUUGGGAAUCUGGCUUAUGGAGGGGGAUAACUACUGGAAACGGUAGCUAAUACCGCGUAAUAUCGGAAGAUUAAAGGGUGGGACCUUUGGGCCACCUGCCAUAAGAUGAGCCCAAGUGGGAUUAGGUAGUUGGUGGGGUAAAGGCCUACCAAGCCGACGAUCUCUAGCUGGUCUGAGAGGAUGGCCAGCCACACUGGAACUGAGACACGGUCCAGACUCCUACGGGAGGCAGCAGUGGGGAAUAUUGCACAAUGGGGGGAACCCUGAUGCAGCCAUGCCGCGUGAAUGAAGAAGGCCUUCGGGUUGUAAAGUUCUUUCGGUGAUGAGGAAGGUGUUUUGUUUAAUAGACAAAGCAAUUGACGUUAGUCACAGAAGAAGCACCGGCUAACUCCGUGCCAGCAGCCGCGGUAAU